CACGUAGGGGGCGAGCGUUGUCCGGAUUCAUUGGGCGUAAAGGGCGCGCAGGCGGCCCGGCAAGUCGGAUGUGAAAACUCGAGGCUCAACCUCGAGACGCCGAUGGAAACCAUGUGGCUAGAGUCCGGAAGAGGAGAGUGGAAUUCCUGGUGUAGCGGUGAAAUGCGCAGAUAUCAGGAGGAACACCUGUGGCGAAGGCGGCUCACUGGACCAUAACUGACGCUGAUGCACGAGAGCUAGGGGAGCAAACAGG
rnacentral:rRNA from 1 species